rnacentral:sRNA from 1 species
UUUUUUCCUUCUUCUU